GUUACUAGUUUUGGGCCUCUUAACCCACUUCCGGGUGGAAAAUGGGCCUUAGAACCCGCGGGCUCUCAUGGGGACCAUGGACAACCCUAACACUUCACUUCACUUUGAUGGGCUAGCAGAGGCAAAUGGGAGAAAAAUACAAAUUUAUCCUGCACACCUGGACAACUUCACAAUGGGUUGGAGAAGCAAUCGUUUUCCCCAAAUUUUGAAGCUGACUGUGUUUGUCAGUCGAGCAGGCACAACUACUCUUUCAAUACAUGUGCUGGAGGAGAUUCUUCCACCAUCUCUUCUAGUUCGAGUGCUCUACGGCCGAUGUUGGAGACAUCGAACGCAGCCGUCAUCGCCACCUAGAAGGUUGGAGCGCACAGGCUGAUGAUAGUAUUGGUGGCGCUGGUGGUGGAGGCGAUGCUCUUCAUGUACAGCCAGUAGUACCUAUUGUACAGACGAUUAUGAGUGCGUGUGCUUGUUCAUGCAGGGUUGCCCUCCACUCCAGAGUAUUAGCCGGGAUGAGCAUAUGUGAAUGUGGAGAUUUGGACAAGAACAGCACGCCUUUUAUGCAUGCAGCAGUGCUUUUAGUCCAUAGGUGAUUGCCUUGAAUCCCAUGAAUUGGCCAGGGUGACGAAGACUACAUCAGGAAAGAAACGUGGACCGCAACUUUACCUUUCCUUUCCAUUGACUGACAGUCUCUCUCCUUUAGUAAUUUGUACCUUAGUGAUGGCAAAGCUUACGUGAAUUUAUUCAAAAGGGUGAAAUUAUGGGACAAGGUUUUCUGAAGGACUCCCGACCAAUGGCUUGAUCUUGCUAAAAUUGUGAUGUAGCGGCCUGUACGAUGAACUGAAGUCGAGGAGAUAAGUCCAGAUCGUCAAGAUGCCUUCGUUUACACCAACUCCAGCACCACCAUGCCCAACAAUAAGGACCAGUUUGAAGCGCCCGUUUUUCAAUAGGAGCCCCUCCUCUGUGUAGCAAAUGUUGUAGGUGACGUCACGACUAAAUCUGAUGUCACUUUUGGCCAACUCAAAAUCUCUCAUUCUGACUGAGAUCUUCCAAGAAGCCAUGAAAAUGAAGUAGAAUCCUCAUUGACUUAGAAGUCAAUCUACCAAGGGGGGAUUAGUCAGAGGAGUUUCAAGUUUGGAGGGCGUGGGAGUUCCAGUUUGGUAACAUCGAACAGUUGGCGAUACUGACAAAAAUCCAUCUGUAGACACCACAUGGAUACAGUUGCCACUAUUCACAAGGAUCAAGGUUUUAUUUUCCAAAUCUCUCGUAGGGAAUGUUUUGCUGGAGAUGACUGACACUUUACGAUAUAAUCCGUCCUUUCAGUCACACUGUAAAAACUAGCCAGUUACAUUGAAAUGUACCUGUUCCAUGUCAAGAUUGGUAAAGAGAAACUGUUAACAAAAUUACUUGGAAGAGACUCUUUCCUGCCUGGUUAACAAAUCUUCGUUGACAGUGGUCUAGAUUCACUCCAGCAACAGCUACUUGGGAGUGUUUAUUUACAUUACCGACGAAAGAUUCUUCAACUUACCAUGACUUGGAACUGAAUGAUGUCCAAAUCCCAGGUUCAAACUCAAAUCUCCUUUACUAUUCAAUUCAAUGAAGAGGAAUCGGCAUCUUGUAAAGCGUAAAGUGGGGUAUCCAUUAUAUGGGUACUUCGGAUUUUUGAACCCUCUUUUUCGUGAGGCAAUGACGCAAGAAGGGAUGAAAUUGAAAAUACCCACGCCACUCUCAAUUCAAGCUUCCAUUCUAGGACCCCAUUUCUCAUCUGGACACAAUUGAAUUUGAAUAUUACUUUGGCGUUAUGGAUUUACCAUGGUCCACAAAUGGACCCUUGCAUUUAUAUCAAAGUGGGUAUGAGCAUUUCCUCGCUUUCUCCUUACACAUACAGUGACGGUAAGGUGUUGGACAUGAGCCAAGCCAUGGAGAGUUUAACCUUGCCCUGUUGCAUCACAUGUUGUCCCACGUCAUCCACGACAAAUGAGUGUAUGUGUUGGAGAGAGGUAAAGAAAUCGAAGAAAAACAAUGAGAAAAUUUCCAUUUCAUUGUGAAACGCCACGAACCCUCUUGCUGUAUUCACCUGGCGUGGCGGAUGGGGCCAAUAACAUGAAUUCCAGUUCAAAUUCAGUCACAUCAUGUUUCCUUCAAAAGGUACUGUCAGAUGCAGAGCGGGGUCAGCGUCGAGAAGAUGAGAGAAAAUCCUUGGGGAGUGGAGCAAGUCAAACCACCACAAACAUUGAGACUCGAACUUUGAGAAGAUAAAUGAAGUCACGAGCGCUUUCAGGUUAGCAACCACGACGAGAAAUAGACGCAUCCAAUCCAAAGGACACACAUAGAUCCGGAAACCCACCUCUAAACCCUGAUUUGAUAUGAGGUGGGAGCUUUGGUGCACACACACACACACACACACACACCAUGGAGUUGGAAUGUCCUAUAGAGACUGAUUUACAAUCCAGAUAGGCUCGAGUCCAAUGGGAAGUACUCUGCUGUCCUGUACGUAUGUAGAAGGACCAAGUACAAUCGGCCAAAUGAGCCCCACCAAAACAAAUAUCUUUUAUCUUUCAUGCAUGUGUAUACGUUGUACAUGUCGCAAAUGGUAUUCUGCACAGCCAGUGGGAUCAUC